UACAGAGGUCUCAAGCGUUGUUCGGAUUCAUUGGGCGUAAAGGGUGCGUAGGCGGCGCGGUAAGUCGGGUGUGAAAUCUCGGGGCUUAACUCCGAAACUGCAUUCGAUACUGCCGUGCUUGAGGACUGGAGAGGAGACUGGAAUUUACGGUGUAGCGGUGAAAUGCGUAGAUAUCAAGAGGAACACCUGCGGCGAAGGCGGGUUGCUGGGCCGACACUGACGCUGAAGCGCGAAAGCUAGGGGAGCGAACGGG
rnacentral:rRNA from 1 species